ACUUGAAUUGAAGAGUUUGAUCAUGGCUCAGAUUGAACGCUGGCGGCAGGCUUAACACAUGCAAGUCGAACGGUAGCAGGAGAAAGCUUGCUUUCUUGCUGACGAGUGGCGGACGGGUGAGUAAUGCUUGGGAAUCUGGCUUAUGGAGGGGGA
rnacentral:rRNA from 1 species